rnacentral:rRNA from 1 species
GUGGGGAAUAUUGGACAAUGGGCGCAAGCCUGAUCCAGCCAUGCCGCGUGAGUGAUGACGGCCCUAGGGUUGUAAAGCUCUUUCAACGGUGAAGAUAAUGACGGUAACCGUAGAAGAAGCCCCGGCUAACUUCGUGCCAGCAGCCGCGGUAAUACGAAGGGGGCUAGCGUUGUUCGGAAUUACUGGGCGUAAAGCGCACGUAGGCGGACUGAUAAGUCAGGGGUGAAAUCCCGGGGCUCAACCCCGGAACUGCCUUUGAUACUGUCAGUCUAGAGUUCGAGAGAGGUGAGUGGAAUUCCGAGUGUAGAGGUGAAAUUCGUAGAUAUUCGGAGGAACACCAGUGGCGAAGGCGGCUCACUGGCUCGAUACUGACGCUGAGGUGCGAAAGCGUGGGGAGCAAACAGGAUUAGAAACCCCAGUAGUCC